CCUACGGGAGGCAGCAGUGAGGAAUAUUGGUCAAUGGACGCAAGCCUGAACCAGCCAAGUAGCGUGAAGGAUGACUGCCCUACGGGUUGUAAACUGCUUUUAUAAAGGAAUAAAGUGAGGCACGUGUGUCUUGUUGUAUGUACUUUAUGAAUAAGGAUCGGCUAACUCCGUGCCAGCAGCCGCGGUAAUACGGAGGAUCCGAGCGUUAUCCGGAUUUAUUGGGUUUAAAGGGUGCGUAGGUGGUUUGUUAAGACAGUGGUGAAAGUUUGGGGUUUAACCCUAAAACUGCAAUUGAUACUGGCAGCCUUGAGUAUAGUUGCGGUAGGCGGAAUGUGUGGUGUAGCGGUGAAAUGCUUAGAGAUCACGCAGAACUCCGAUUGCGAAGGCAGCUUACUAAUCUGCCUCUGACAUUGAUGCACGAAAGUGUGGGUAGCAAACAGGAUUAGAUACCCUUGUAGUC
rnacentral:rRNA from 1 species